CCAGACUCCUACGGGAGGCAGCAGUAGGGAAUCUUCGGCAAUGGGGGGAACCCUGACCGAGCAACGCCGCGUGAGUGAAGAAGGUUUUCGGAUCGUAAAGCUCUGUUGUUAAGGAAGAACGAGUGUGAGAAUGGAAAGUUCAUACUGUGACGGUACUUAACCAGAAAGGGACGGCUAACUACGUGCCAGCAGCCGCGGUAAUACGUAGGUCCCGAGCGUUGUCCGGAUUUAUUGGGCGUAAAGCGAGCGCAGGCGGUUAGAUAAGUCUGAAGUUAAAGGCAGUAGCUCAACCAUUGUAGGCUUUGGAAACUGUUUAACUUGAGUGCAGAAGGGGAGAGUGGAAUUCCAUGCGUAGCGGUGAAAUGCGUAGAUAUAUGGAGGAACACCGGUGGCGAAAGCGGCUCUCUGGUCUGUAACUGACGCUGAGGCUCGAAAGCGUGGGGAGCGAACAGGAUUAGAUACCCUGGUAGUCCACGCCGUAAACGAUGAGUGCUAGGUGUUAGGUCCUUUCCGGGACUUAGUGCCGCAGCUAACGCAUUAAGCACUCCGCCUGGGGAGUACGACCGCAAGGUUGAAACUCAAAGGAAUUGACGGGGGCCCGCACAAG
rnacentral:rRNA from 1 species